GUGGGGAAUAUUGGACAAUGGGCGAAAGCCUGAUCCAGCCAUGCCGUGUGCAGGAAGACGGCCCUCUGGGUUGUAAACUGCUUUUAUCUGGGAAGAAAAAGGCCAUGCGUGGCAAAUUGCCGGUACCAGAUGAAUAAGCACCGGCUAACUCCGUGCCAGCAGCCGCGGUAAUACGGAGGGUGCGAGCGUUGUCCGGAUUUAUUGGGUUUAAAGGGUGCGUAGGCGGCUGAUUAAGUCAGCGGUGAAAGACUUCGGCUUAACCGGAGCAGUGCCGUUGAUACUGGUUGGGUUGAGUGUCGGAGGGGUACAUGGAAUUGAUGGUGUAGCGGUGAAAUGCAUAGAUACCAUCAGGAACACCGAUAGCGAAGGCAUUGUACUGGCCGACAACUGACGCUGAUGCACGAAAGUGUGGGGAUCGAACAGGAUUAGAUACCCCGGUAGUCC
rnacentral:rRNA from 1 species